AUUGAACGCUGGCGGCAGGCCUAACACAUGCAAGUCGAGCGGAGCGGCGGACGGGUGAGUAAUGCCUAGGAAUCUGCCUGGUAGUGGGGGAUAACGUCCGGAAACGGGCGCUAAUCCCGCAUCCUAUCAGAUUAGCCUAGGUCGGAUUAGCUAGUUGGUGGGUUAAAGGCCUACCAAGGCGACGAUCCGUAACUGGUCUGAGAGGAUGAUCAGUCACACUGGAACUGAGACACGGUCCAGACUCCUACGGGAGGCAGCAGUGGGGAAGAUUGGACAAUGGGGGAAAUCCUGAUCCAGCCAUGCCGCGUGUGUGAAGAAGGUCGUCGGAUUGUAAAGCACGUUAAGUUGGGAGGCGUUACCUACAGAAAAAGCAACGGCUAACUACGUGCCAGCAGCCGCGGUAAUUC
rnacentral:rRNA from 1 species